UUCUCCAGUAUGUUGGAGAGAAGAUCAGCAAGAAAAAAGCGUGUUAGGACAUGAGAAGCUGACAGAAAAAGAUUUUUUCAUUAUCGAAAGGGACAUGUACAACAUCCAUAAUGGUGUGUCUGAUGGAAUUUGUCAUUUCAUUCAUAAAUAAUGCUGAUAAAGAUGCAAACUUAGCAAUGUGCCAAAAAAGUGACAGCUUUGACAAGGAAAUAUAUUCCAUAUAUAACAGUUACUGUCUGAAUGCAGUGAAAGGAUCCAGAUGAACAGAUGAAGAGAUUAAGUACAAUGUACAUCAAUUACUUGGAUGAAGAGAAUCUGCAAAAUGGGGAAAUAAUGUUCCUAUAGAAAAGUCAAAGAAUGUAUAUACGUAUGUGAGAUUCUGAAGUAGCCGUACAUGAUGAGUAGGAUUGGAAUUUGAAGUGAAUUAUGG